CAUAUACCGGUGGCUAGCUAGCUCCGCGUUAGCCACCGGUAUAUGUCUCUUCCCCUCGUAUGCGGGGAAAGAAACACCGAUCGACCGAUGGUGGCUAACGCGGAGCUCAAUCGUGGAUAAGGGAAACCCAAUGCAGGAGAAGCAGGCGGCUGGUGAACUGAAUUUCAGCUGCUUUAAAAGGUCAAGCUUUGAGAUUCCAAGCUUUCAUCGGUACCACUGGUUUCACCUCAGAAUUUGAAAAAAGAAGAUACUUUUACUACAUACAGAACAUUUUAUGCAUUGUAUUGUUUGUGGUUUCACCAGACCAAAUACAAAAGAGGACAAAGUUCAAAACCACAUUCAGACAAUAGAUCUUAGUGUCCUUAAUGUCCUUCUGUCCCAGGGAUGUUCAAGUCUGAACGGCUUUGUAGGAAUUUAUCACAUUCCUGCUUUCCCACAUUAAUACACUGUUUUAGGUCUGAAACCACAUUAAACCCUUAAAAGUGUAAAAUGUAUGAGGGGGGCGUAAAUGGCAGCAGAACAAACAACUUGCACUAACACAUUUUGAGGCAAAUGUGUGAAAUACAGUGUGGGUGUGAAAUGCAACAGUGACUGCACAACAUUUCUGUAAUGCAUCCAUUACUGGAGCUGUGUUUAGUCAUUCUCAGGACAUUAAGAUUGUCAACGGAGGACAAAUCAGAGAGGUGGACACAUCCAACUCUGAAGUCUGGAAAAACUUUUUUUGCUUAGAGCAUUCAUUACGAGACAGUAUAAGGAGCUUCCCACAAACAAGCACAACUCCUUGACCUCAGAUGGGAGUGAAUGGAGAGGACGAAAGUCGAGCCAAACCGCAGAGGCAGACUCCAAACCUCACCAACAAGCACCAGCCCCAGGAGUGUCAGUUUGGGACACAGAUGUAUAUCGUUUUUUUCCCCUCCAUGCACAGCAAACAGACCUUCACAACACUUUGAGUAACUACAGCUGUGUGGAGCCUCACAAUCUCCUGUGAUACUUUGGCUAAAGAGAGUAGGUUUCAGAAGAAGUUUGAGGAUGAGAAAGCAUCUCUUUUAUUCAUAUCAGUUGUGGGAGAUCUCCGAUGAGAAAUGUCAUGGUUACUUGUUCUUUGUUAACAC
ensembl:lncRNA